rnacentral:snRNA from 1 species
GGGGAGACACCAUGAUCACGAAGGUGGUUUUCCCAGGGUGAGGCUCAUCCAUUGCACUUUGGGUGUGCUGACCCCUGUGAUUUCCCCAAAUGCCACUUUUGCC